rnacentral:misc_RNA from 1 species
GUAAAACAGCUAUUGAUACUAUUUUGAGAUAUUGCUGUAAUAUCUUGCAAAUUAUCUUUUGAGUAGAAAUGAUAUCUAUGAAGAUUCCGAUCUUUUUUAAGUAUCAUAGAUAAACUUAUCAUUUAAGUACCUUUCUGAAUGAAUGAUGCAACUAUUCCGUGUAGACAUUCGUAAUCUAAUUAUUUUAUUCAAAGAUAUGAUAACUUUCUUCAAAGUAACUUACCAUUUGGUAAAAGUUAGAAAGAAGAAUUUAUCUGAUGAUUUGCAUUUAUGGGGUUACAAGGAUUACCACCAAAGCAAGGUCUAUAUGAUCCCCAGUUUGAAAAAGAAGCUUGUGGUGUUGGUUUUGUUGUAAAUAUCAAUGGGAUAGCUUCACACAAACUAAUUCAAGAUGCUGAAACCAUAUCUAAGCGCCUGGAGCACAGAGGGGCUCGAGCUGGGGAUAACAACACUGGUGAUGGUGCUGGCAUUAUGACAUCCAUUCCACACGAGUUUUAUCGACUUUCAUUAAGGAAAGAGUUGCGUGUUGAUUUACCACCAAAAGGAAAAUAUGCAACUGGUAUUAUUUUUAUGGAAUCAUCUGAAGAGACUAGCGUAAAAUAUCAUUUUGAAAAAAUUGUUGAAGAAGUUGGCUUACAAGUUUUAUGCUGGAGAAAUAUUGAAGUUGAUAAUAGCUCUCUUGGUGCAGUUGCCAAAUCAUCUGAACCAAUGAUGCAGCAAAUUUUUAUAACUGCAGAGAAUUUAAAUAAUAAAACCUUCAAAGAAAAGGUGUACCUCUUACAAAAAUCUUCUACUCAUCGAUUGCAAAAGUAUUUCACUUGUUUUUACAUUUGCAGUUUAUCCACAGAAACUGUUGUUUACAAAGGACAGCUUACUUCAUCACAAUUGUGGUCCUAUUUUAAAGAUCUACAAGAUACUAGUUACACUACUUACUUAGCCAUUGUACAUGCUCGGUUUUCAACCAACACUUUUCCUACUUGGGAUAGAGCUCAUCCAUUAAGAUAUUUAGCUCAUAAUGGGGAAAUCAAUACUUUGCAUGGUAAUGUAAAUCUGAUGAGGGCACGAGAAGGUGUGAUGAAAAGCUCCAUAUAUAAAGAUGACUUGAAAAAGAUAUUUCCUGUUGUUGAACCAAAUAUGUCUGACUCAGGAAGUUUGGAUAAUGUUUUAGAAUUUCUAGUUAUGGCUGGUCACCGCUCUUUACCUGAAGCUGUUAUAACUAUGCUUCCUGAAGCUUGGCAGAAAGAUGAAUUGAUGAUUGUCCAUAAAAAGCAUUUCUAUCAAUGGAGUUCGUGCGUCAUGGAACCCUGGGAUGGACCUGCAUUAGUAACAUUUACUGAUGGUCGAUAUGUUGGUGCUAUUUUGGAUAGAAACGGUUUGCGACCAUCCCGUUAUUACAUAACAAAUGAUGAUCAUGUUAUUAUGGCCAGUGAAGUUGGUGUGUUAGACUUUGAAAAUGAAAAUAUCAAAUUGAAGGGGCGCUUACGACCCGGGCGCAUGCUUCUGGUUGAUACUAAAGAACACCUUUUUAGAAGAGACGAUGAAGUUAAAGUUGAAAUUGCACAUCAAAGACCCUUAAAGCGAUGGCUUGAAGAACUGGUGACUCUAGAAAAACUAAAGUCUGCUACACCAAUACGAGGGAGAAAGAUGAGUUUUCCUGUGUCUGAUGUCAUGAAAGAUCGACGAUUGCCUCUCUUUGGCUAUACAAUCGAAGCUGUGACUUUAUUAUUACUGCCUAUGAUACAAAACGGGAAAGAGGCUUUAGGAUCUAUGGGUAAUGAUGCACCACCAGCUUGUUUGUCUCAAUAUCACCCAUUAGUUUAUGAUUAUUUUAAGCAGCUUUUUGCACAAGUAACAAAUCCUCCAAUAGAUCCAUUCCGAGAAGAUAUUGUACUUUCUUUGGCUUGUCCUAUAGGUCCAACUUUUAAUAUGCUUGAACCUAAUGCAAAACAAUGUCAAAGGCUAUGGCUUGAACACCCCAUUCUAACUUUGAGGGACAUGGCUGCCAUCAAAGUUACAGAUUUUAAUGGAUGGAAGACAAAAAUUGUUGAUAUCGUCUAUCCUGUGGAAAAUGGAAGUGAAGGCUUAGUACCUGCUAUUGAUCAGAUUUGUUUAGAAGCAUACACUGCUGCAAAAGAGGGAUACAGUUUCAUAGUAUUAUCUGAUAGAAAAGCUGAUGAACGCCAUGUGCCUGUUAGUGCUUUGCUUGCUUUGGGAGCUGUUCAUCUUCAUCUAGUAAAAGAACGACAGCGUAUGAAAGUUGGACUUAUUGUAGAGACUGGUGAAGCACGAGAAGUUCAUCAAUUGUGUGUUCUUUUAGGCUAUGGUGCAGAUGCGAUAUGCCCGUAUUUGGUUUAUGAUAUUGCCUUUGGAAUCAAUUUAGAAUUGCCUUUUAGCCUUGCAAUCAGUACAGAAGUAAUUGAAGCCAAUUAUAUAAAAGCUCUGUCCAUUGGCAUCUCCAAGGUUAUGGCUAAGAUAGGAAUUUCUACUCUGCAAAGUUAUAAAGGGGCCCAUAUUUUUGAAGCAUUGGGAUUAGAUUAUGAUGUUAUUGAUAAAUGUUUUCAAAAUACACCUUCAAGAAUCAGUGGGGUUAAUUUUGAAGUACUUGCUCAAGAGGCAAUGGAGCGUCAUCACUUUGCAUUUUGUGCAAGUAAUGGAGAUAAUGAAAUUCUGAGAAAUCCAGGUUUUUACCAUUGGAGAAGCGGUGGUGAAGCUCAUGUAAAUGAUCCUCAAAGUGUUGCCAAUCUACAGGAGGCUGUUCGAACAAAGUCUCAAAAUGCUUAUGAGCGCUAUGUUGAAAGUACCAUGGACAGUGUUCGUGAAUGCACUCUCAGAGGACAAUUAGAAAUGAUGUUUCAAAAUAAGGGAGCUCUUCCAUUAUCAGAAAUUGAGCCUGCAGCAGAAAUAGUGAAACGAUUUGUUACUGGAGCUAUGAGUCUUGGUAGUAUUUCAGCUGAAACCCAUGAAACCUUAGCCAUCUCAAUGAAUCGUAUUGGUGGGAAAUCCAAUACUGGGGAAGGAGGUGAAAGCGCAGAGCGAUGGAGCUCUGCUGAUAUAUUACAGAAUAAACGAUCUGCAAUUAAGCAAGUGGCAUCAGGGAGAUUUGGAGUGACUAUAGGCUACUUAGCAAAUGCAGAUGAAAUUCAAAUAAAAAUGGCUCAAGGUGCAAAACCUGGUGAAGGUGGAGAGCUUCCUGGCCAUAAGGUUUCCGAAGAAAUUGCUGAAUGUCGUCAUUCAACUCCUGGAGUUGGUCUUAUAAGUCCCCCUCCUCAUCAUGACAUCUAUUCUAUUGAAGAUCUAUCAGAAUUAAUAUAUGAUUUAAAAUGUGCAAAUCCAUCUGCUCGUAUAUCAGUGAAGCUUGUGUCGGAAGUUGGUGUUGGUAUUGUUUCUUCAGGAGUAGCUAAAGCUAAAGCUGAACAUAUUACUAUAUCUGGUCAUGAUGGAGGAACUGGUGCAAGUAGUUGGACUGGUAUAAAAGGAGCUGGAUUACCAUGGGAAUUAGGAAUCGCAGAAACCCAUCAAACCCUUGUUUUAAAUGAUCUUCGUUCGCGAGUCAUAUUGCAAGCUGACGGGCAACUAAGGACAGGAUUUGAUGUUAUGGUUGCUGCUCUAUUAGGAGCUGAUGAAUUUGGAUUUUCGACUGCACCUUUAAUAGCACUUGGUUGUACAAUGAUGAGAAAAUGCCAUUUAAAUACAUGUCCUGUAGGCAUUGCUACUCAGGAUCCAGUUUUACGAAAAAAGUUUGCUGGAUUACCUGAACAUGUAGUAAAUUAUUUCUUUUUCUUAGCGGAAGAAGUCAGAACAUACAUGUCCAAACUGCAUAUAAAACAAUUUCAAGAUUUAAUUGGCCGAGCAGAUCUGUUAAAGAUUUAUAAAAAUAAAAGAAAUAAAAAGGCUUCUCAUCUUGACUUUCAUUCCCUUUUAAAGUGUGCAAGAUCCUUACGAACUAAUACAGUACCAGUUGGUGGAAGCAUUAAACAUGACUUUGAGUUGCACAACAGAUUAGAUAAUAAAGUUAUUGAAAAAUAUUUUGAAACUUGGAAGGAAUCCUCAAACACUGAAAAAAAGCAUUUGUCCAUGACUUUAGACAUUACAAAUCGAGAUAGAACAUUUGGUACUACACUAAGCUAUCAUAUUGCUAAAGAAUAUGGAGACCAAGGUUUGCCAGAUAAUUCAAUUCAACUUUAUGUGAAAGGAUCUGCAGGACAAAGCUUCUGUGCUUUUCUCAUUAAAGGAGUUUCUGUCUAUUUGGAAGGUGAUGCUAAUGAUUGUGUAGCAAAAGGCCUUACUGGUGGUGAAGUCAUAUUAUAUCCCCCAAAAGAUAUGGCUCCUACUUUCAAAUCCGAGUUGAAUGUCAUUGCAGGGAAUGCUUGUCUUUAUGGUGCCACAUCAGGAAAAGCUUUCAUUAGGGGAAUUGUAGCUGAAAGAUUUGCUGUUAGAAACUCUGGAGCAUUUGCAAUCAAUGAAGGUGUUGGUGACCAUGGUUGUGAAUAUAUGACAGGUGGAAAAGUUGUUGUAUUAGGGUUAACAGGUAGAAACUUUGCUGCUGGUAUGUCUGGUGGGAUUGCUUAUGUUUAUAACAAGACUGGUAAUUUUGAAUCGCAAUGUAAUAAGGAUAUUGUAGAUUUACUUCCUGUAAGAGAUGUAGAAGAUAUAGAAUUCCUAAAAGAUUUCAUUUUAGAGUUUCAUACAAAGACUGGUUCAGAAGUUGCAAAGUUCAUCCUGGAUUCUUGGGAAGUUUCUGUGAAGCGUUUUGUUAAGGUUUUUCCUAAAGACUAUCAGAGAGCUCUGAAAGAGAAACGUGCUAGGCUUGCUCAACCACCGAGUAUCACCAAAGAAGCAGAGGCUAUUCCAGUCACAAAUGGUACACAGACUGAUGACAUUGAAGAUAUCUUGAAAAUAAGUGGUCCAAUUGAUAAAACUAAGGGCUUCAUAAAGUAUAGGCGUGUGAAAUCUAAUUACAGACCUGCUGAAGAGAGAAUGCUUGAUUACAACGAGAUUUAUGACCAUAAAAAUGUUAGAAAGACCCUGAAAGUACAGGCAGCAAGGUGUAUGGAUUGUGGUGUGCCAUUUUGUCAGUCUAAGAGUGGGUGCCCAUUAGGAAAUAUUAUUCCUAAGUGGAACGACUUGGUUUAUCAGGAUAACUGGAAAGAAGCUUUGGAUCAGCUACUUCUAACAAAUAAUUUUCCUGAGUUUACUGGACGUGUCUGCCCAGCACCUUGUGAACUCAAGUUUAUUCAGGCUUUUCUACAUGUUUUCAGUCUGCAUGCGUCCUGGCUCUCAUUGAACCGGCUGUAACUAUUAAGAAUAUUGAGUGUGCCAUCAUUGAAAAAGCAUUUGAAAGUGGAUGGAUGGUGCCCAAACCUCCUCCUUCAAGAUCUGGUUUUAGUGUCGUCAUAGUAGGAAGUGGACCUGCUGGCUUAGCUGCAGCUUCCCAAUUGAAUAAAGUUGGGCAUACUGUGACAGUGUAUGAAAAGAAUAGGCAAGUUGGUGGUCUGUUACGAUAUGGCAUACCUAGCAUGAAGCUUAGCCGAGAGGUAAAU